rnacentral:rRNA from 1 species
GACGGAGGGGGGCGAGUGUUAUUCAUCAUGACUGGGCGUAAAGGGCAUAUAGGCAGUAACUUAAGUCGACAACACGAAAGAUCAUGGCUGAGCUGUGGAGCGUGGGUCGAAACUGGCUUACUUAGAGUGCAAGCGGGGAUAGUGGAAUUUCUAGUGUAGAGAUGAAAUUCGGAAAGAUUAGAAGGACCUCCUGAAGCGAAAGCGACUAUCUAGAUUGUUCACUGACGCUGUAGUGCGAAAGCAUGGGCAUCAAACAGG